rnacentral:misc_RNA from 1 species
CUUAAUGUUAAUUUCAAAAAUUCUACUCACAUUAGUAAUAUUUACAAUUGUAACAGCACAAAAUGAUUUCUGUACCUUUAUGUUUAAUUUUGUAGAGCCUCCGAAGAUGGCGUAGAUCGCCGAAACGCGUCAGGCGUUAAAACAUACAUGACUUUUUCAUAUUUAUACAUAUUGAUAACAAGGAUCCACAAAAUGAAUUUUAGAAUUUAGUUUGAUUUGGGUUAGUAUGAACAAUUUUUUGGAGUAUAUUCCAAAAGAAAUGCGAGAAUAUUAUAUUAAGGUUUAUAUCAGCAAGAUGUUUAAACAUGUAACCAUAAAAAAUGGAAAUUAUUCUUACGAAAUAAAUUUUUUAACUGUCCUAGCAACAAAAUGUUAUAUUUAAACACAGAGGAGUAAAUAGAAGUAUUUAUCAAUAAAUAAUAUCUUAUCUUUGAUAAUCAUAAUAAGCGUUUCCUUCUUAAUUGAUAGGAAGCCUUUAAAACAUCCCCAUUUUCGUGAUUGUUGUAAUUUUUACUUGCAGCAAUGUUCAAUCCAGUCACUUUCUCUGAAAAUAAUUACAACACGGUCAUUCAAGCAAAUUCGUUUUUAGUAAACUAUAAAGAUCGCUUCAAAUGGUUUGAUAAUGAAAUAAUGUUAGAUAUUGGUUGCUCAAAUGGAUGUGUUACCCAAGAAUCGCUCUAUCCAUUCGUAAAGCCUCAUUUAAAACAUCUAAUUGGAGCUGAUAUUUCUCAACAUGCUAUAGAUGUAGCAAAUGUAACUUAUAAAACGUCUACAUUAUCGUUUCAAGUAAUGGAUAUAAUCGAUAGUGAGCAAUGUGAAAAGGAUCUUGAGAAGUUUCAUCACAUUUUUGCGUUUUAUCUAUUUCAUCUUUUACCGAGAUCAGAUUUAUCCACGUAAUAUAGUAAACAUUUGCAUGGCGGAUCAAAGAAAUGAUGAAACAAAGCCGUGGUCAAAGUACAUAAAAAAUCUUCCAGAUUUAUUUAUUGAUUUUGGUCCAAACCCCAAAGAAACAAUUUCAGAUAUUUUAAAAGAAGCUGGAUUUAUUAUAGACGUGAUGGAUGUGCAAUCCGUUACCUUCUCUUUUCCAGAAGUCCAUUUAUUGCGAAGUAUUUUUUUAAAUUUCUAUUGAAAUGGUAUUAUUUUUGAAAUUUUCAGAUACUUUAGUGGGCGGAAACCACUUUUUGAACCACAUUCCUAUGGAAUUACGUGAUGAGUACAUUGAAGAUUGUAUUGACAAAUUAAUCAAGCAAUUGAAAAAUGAAGAUGGCACCUAUAGUUGUUCAUUUGAUGUACUAACAGUAGUUGCAACUAAACCUUAAAUGCUUUACUUGCUUGAUACAUAAAUACUUUUAUAACCCAAUUUUAUCGAAGUUAAAAAAUAUAUUUCUUUAUUACUCUGUAA